UGGCGUUUGAUGGAAAUUUUAUUUAGGUCAUUUUUAAAAAUCUGUUUAAAUUCUUAGUUUAUCAAUAAAGAAUAUUUUUAGACAUACAUUUUCAACGAGUAAUCGAUCAUGGCAGAUGACCAGCCAACUGACAUGUCUAGCGAAUACGCCAGACUCGCAUCAUUUGGAGGAAACACCAUGGAUGUAGCCGCUGUCAUGUCAACAUCAACAUCACCGGGAUGCUGGAACCUGAGAUAUAAUUCACCAAUGAAGUGUGCUAAAGCUGAUUUCUACUGCGUUCCUGGCUCAAACGGUGAUGUAUUGUCUUGUUUUGCAUGUUCGGCAGAGUGGAUGAAUCCACAAGGAGAAUCUCCGUUGGCCGUACACCGAGUCCUUAGUAAGGACCUUAGUCCAAACUGCCCGUAUCUGAAAAGUGCCACACCAUUUUCGACUGCAUCUCCUCUGAUUUUCCCAAAAAGUCAUAUUAAUAAUGCCAGAAGAUGCUUGUUUCCACUGGAUAAUGAAAACAUGAACUUUACCACAGAAAAUAAUAAUUAUAUAUAUAUAAGUUCCAGGACCAUCAACAAGUAAAAAACAAUCAAACUUUUACCCCACUUGGUGGAUCAGAUUUUUUGUUUGAAAGCAGGAGAUUCCUGACAUUUGACAAUCUGACAUUUGACAAUCUGACAAAUGAAAACAUGCUGAAAGCAUCUGAAUGGGCAGCAAGUGGAUUUAUUUUCCAACAAAGCAAUAUGGUGCAGUGUGUUUUCUGUGGACUAACGUUACUAUUUACAACCGAGUUGUCUACCUGUAAGUUACAGCAUGAACAAGAAGCAGCACAUUGUCCACUUGUGAUGAAACAUGAUGUGGGGAACAUCACAAUACAAAUGGAAAAUGCUGUCAACUGGAUGAAAGAAACAAAACAGCUGUCUUCGGUGGAGAUGUCACUUGUGUUUGUUCAUCCACAGUUCGAAGACAUUAAUAAACGACGAGAUACAUUCCGAGAGUGGCCGUCUCAAAUGUAUCAGAAACCUUAAGAACUUUGUGAAGCAGGCUUUUACUACACAGGCUGUGCUGACAAGGUUGUUUGCUUUUGCUGUGGGCUGGGUUUGAAGAGUUGGAGAGAUCAGGCUGACCCGUGGAUACAACAUGCCAGGUUGUCUCCACAGUGCAGGUACCUGAAAGAAAUCAGAGGAAACAACUUUCUACGAGAUGCACAACAAGCAGAGGUGCAAGCUGAUUUCGACCCACCAAAAACUUUUCAAGAGGGU